UAUUGGUGAGUAAAAUUAGACAAAAACAUGUAUACAUUUUUAAAAAUAACAAAGUAAAUAGUUUUAUUUUAUUAAGACAGCGUAUAGUUUUGUAGUUUCCUUUUUGAUUGGCUCACGGGCCUAUGGAACAUUCAUCAGCCAAUCAAAUUGCACGAUAGAGUGAUGUUGUGGUUGGCGGUAAUUUUCACUCUCUGGUAGACGGUGGUGUAUCAGUGAGAUCCUGCAGCUCGGGUCUCUACAGCUCUGUCCGCGGUAAAAGAGAGUCACAGUUAGUAAAAGUUCAACAAAACACUGUGAAUAAGCAGGUUUACUCACUGAGAGCUGAAAAUGAAGCUUCUUUACCGUCCAGCCCGCGAAAAUGUACUGUGAACUACCUGCAUUGGUCGGGUUUUUGUGCAAGGGAGAGAUUAGAUUUUGGUCCAUUGAGAUCAAUUGGAUGGGGAGCCAAGCCAAGCCAAGCUCGGACCAUUGAACCAGGACACUUUUCUGCAUGCAGCAAACUGAACAAGUGGAUCCCGGGACUCGUUCACCUCAGACACUGAGAAAAUUCACUUCAAAAUGCGCCUGCUGGUGAUGCUGGCUAACUCUUGUGGUGAACAUUGAGGCAGUCUUAUGCGUAAGUCUCCCCUGCCAGUACACAGCAUCUCCCUCGCCAAGACUCCUGCCAGGCCUGCUUUCGGUCUCACACACGGUAACUGGGUGCUCUGUACCUCCAGGCUAACUUGGAAGGGGAUCCCAGAGCUGCUGUGGUCAACAGAGGCUGUUUAUAGCCAAC
rnacentral:lncRNA from 1 species